UACAGAGGGUGCAAGCGUUGUUCGGAAUUACUGGGCGUAAAGGGCGUGUAGGCGGCUUUGUAAGUCAGAUGUGAAAUCCCGGGGCUUAACCCCGGAAGUGCAUUUGAAACUGCAAAGCUAGAGUGCUGUAGAGGAUGGCGGAAUACCCAGUGGAGAGGUGAAAUUCGUAGAUAUUGGGUAGAACACCGGUGGCGAAGGCGGCCAUCUGGGCAGCAACUGACGCUGAGGCGCGAGAGCGUGGGGAGCAAACAGG
rnacentral:rRNA from 1 species